rnacentral:lncRNA from 1 species
GGGCGGCUCGGGCGGGACUGGGCCGGUUCGGCCCAAAACGGUCGGGCGGGUCCGGUUUCCCCCUUUUUUUUUUCCUUAUAGCGUUUUCUUUUUCUGCUUUUCUCAUUUCUUUGAUAACUUUUGAUUUUGAACUCCAAAUUGGUCCAAAUAAAUUUCAGAAAAUUUGAAUAAUCCUGUUCUACCAUGAUACAACUUUUGGGAGUAGUUUCCCCUCAAAAUAAAAUUCAUAAAAAUACAUUUGCCCUAUAAAUGCCUUUAGGGCUAUAUAUCUAUUUAAAUAAAAUACGUUUUCAACUCCAAAUAAUUAUCCAAAAAUUAUGGGAUAGCUUAUAUAUGCAUG